CUAACUACUAGUCAUCAUAUUAUUAAUUUUCUACUCAAACAUAAAGGAGUUUCAAUCAUAUAAUUAAUAGGGUUGUGCUUUGGAUCAUAGCAGAAUAAUUUUCACAAAUAUGAAUGUCACAAUUCACCCUUAAACCUAAUAAAAACACACUCAAUCCUCCAUCAACCUAGGUUCGAAUUCUAGAAAAUAUACUUAUCCCACAAUAGGGCAUAUACCCCAUUUAGCAUAUUUUCAUCUUCAUAGGAGGUUGUUGGGCCACUGUCAUCAUCACGACCACAGUUG
rnacentral:lncRNA from 1 species